UUAUAGCGCUGAAGAUGCUGAGAUGGAAUUUCAAACCUCCUUUAAACAGAAAGGCUUGGUCCCGACCUUAAAAUCAAUUAUUUCUUAAUUUACACAUGCAAGUCUCCGCACACCCGUGAAAAUGCCCCAAACCCCCUCAAAUUAGGGGAAGGAGCCGGUAUCAGGCACAGUAACUUGCCCAAAACACCUAGCAACGCCACACCCACAAGGGUCUUCAGCAGUGAUAAACAUUGAGUAUAAGUGUCAACUUGACUCAGUUAAAGAAAAAAGAGUCGGCAAAUUUGGUGCCAGCCGCCGCGGUUACACCACUGACUCAAAUUGAACUCACUCGGCAUAAAAUGUGAUUUAAGCUACAAACCCACUAGAGUUAAACUUAUAUUAAGCUGUGACAAGCCUGUAAAAAGAAAAUCAAACACGAAAGUUACUCUAAACUUCCCUUGAACUCACGAAAACUUGGACACAAACUAGGAUUAGAUACCCUACUAUGCCAGGUUGUAAACUUUAACUUACGCCGAAAUUGCCUGGGAAUUACGAGCUAAGCUUUAAACCCAAAGGACUUGACGGUACCCCAUAUCCCUCUAGAGGAGCCUGUCCUAUAAUCGAUACCCCCCGCUUAACCUCACCAUUUUUAGCUUCUCAGCCUGUAUACUUCCGUCGUCAGCUUACCGCAUGAGCGACAUCAUAGUAAGCCAAAUGUCUACAUCAACACGUCAGGUCAAAGUGCAGCAAACAAAAUGGAAAGAGAUGGGCUACACUUUCUAAUUAUAGAAAACACGAAAGAUUGACGUGAAACCUCAAUCUAAAGGUGGAUUUAGUAGUAAAAAGAAAAUAGAGUGUUCUUUUUAAUCCGGCACUGGGGUGCGUACACACCGCCCGUCACCCUCUUCGCACACCUAACCCUAGUAAAUAACAACUUUCCAUAAAGUAGAAGAGGCAAGUCGUAACAUGGUAAGUGUACCGGAAGGUGUACUUGGACACGUUACAUAGCUUAACCAAAGCCU
rnacentral:ncRNA from 1 species